rnacentral:rRNA from 1 species
UACAGAGGUGGCAAGCGUUGUCCGGAAUUAUUGGGCGUAAAGAGCUCGUAGGCGGUCUGUCGCGUCUGCUGUGAAAACUCAGGGCUUAACCCUGAGCUUGCAGUGGGUACGGGCAGACUAGAGUGCGGUAGGGGAGACUGGAAUUCCUGGUGUAGCGGUGAAAUGCGCAGAUAUCAGGAGGAACACCGGUGGCGAAGGCGGGUCUCUGGGCCGUAACUGACGCUGAGGAGCGAAAGCAUGGGGAGCGAACAGG